rnacentral:rRNA from 1 species
AGUGAACGCCGGCGGUAGGCCUAACACAUGCAAGUCGAACGGCAGCACAGGAGAGCUUGCUCUCUGGGUGGCGAGUGGCGGACGGGUGAGGAAUACAUCGGAAUCUACUCUGUCGUGGGGGAUAACGUAGGGAAACUUACGCUAAUACCGCAUACGACCUACGGGCGAAAGCAGGGGACCUUCGGGCCUUGCGCGAUUGAAUGAGCCGAUGUCGGAUUAGCUAGUUGGCGGGGUAAAGGCCCACCAAGGCGACGAUCCGUAGCUGGUCUGAGAGGAUGAUCAGCCACACUGGAACUGAGACACGGUCCAGACUCCUACGGGAGGCAGCAGUGGGGAAUAUUGGACAAUGGGCGCAAGCCUGAUCCAGCCAUACCGCGUGGGUGAAGAAGGCCUUCGGGUUGUAAAGCCCUUUUGUUGGGAAAGAAAUCCAGCUGGCUAAUACCCGGUUGGGAUGACGGUACCCAAAGAAUAAGCACCGGCUAACUUCGUGCCAGCAGCCGCCGUAA